UACGAAGGGGGCUAGCGUUACUCGGAUUGACUGGGCGUAAAGGGUGCGUAGGCGGGUCUUUAAGUCAGGGGUGAAAUCCUGGAGCUCAACUCCAGAACUGCCUUUGAUACUGAGGAUCUUGAGUUCGGGAGAGGUGAGUGGAACUGCGAGUGUAGAGGUGAAAUUCGUAGAUAUUCGCAAGAACACCAGUGGCGAAGGCGGCUCACUGGCCCGAUACUGACGCUGAGGCACGAAAGCGUGGGGAGCAAACAGG
rnacentral:rRNA from 1 species